AACGAACGCUGGCGGCAUGCCUAACACAUGCAAGUCGAACGAGACCUUCGGGUCUAGUGGCGCACGGGUGCGUAACGCGGGGGAACCUGCCCUUAGGUUCGGAAUAACUCCCCGAAAGGGGUGCUAAUACCGGAUAAUGUCUUCGGACCAAAGAUUUAUCGACUUUGGAUGGGCCCGCGUUGGAUUAGCUAGUUGGUAGGGUAAAAGCCUAUCAAGGCUACGAUCCAUAGCUGGUCUGAGAGGAUGAUCAGCCACACUGGGACUGAGACACGGUCCAGACUAUUACGGGAGGGAGCAGUGGGGAAUAUUGGAAAAUGGGCGAAAGGCUGAUCCAGCAAUGCCGCGUGAGUGCUGAAGGCCUUAGGGUUGUAAAGCUCUUUUACACGGGAUGAUAAUGACAGUACCGGGAGAAUAAGCACCGGCUAACUCCGUG
rnacentral:rRNA from 1 species